rnacentral:rRNA from 1 species
CGGGUGAGUAACACGUGGAUAACCUACCUAUAAGACUGGGAUAACUUCGGGAAACCGGAGCUAAUACCGGAUAAUAUUUUGAACCGCAUGGUUCAAAAGUGAAAGACGGUCUUGCUGUCACUUAUAGAUGGAUCCGCGCUGCAUUAGCUAGUUGGUAAGGUAACGGCUUACCAAGGCAACGAUGCAUAGCCGACCUGAGAGGGUGAUCGGCCACACUGGAACUGAUACACGGUCCAG